CAACUUACACCUUGCAGGGGAAAUACCAUGUCAUAAAAUGGCUUUCCCAGGGAGAGACUCAUCCAUUGUACUUCAGGUCUGCUGCUGAUCCCUGUGAUUUCCCCAAAUGUGGGGAACUCAACUGCAUAAUGUGUGUUAAUGAGAGAUUACAUUUGUGAUAUCUGUUU
ensembl:snRNA U1 U1 spliceosomal RNA